GACGAACGCUGGCGGCGUGCUUAACACAUGCAAGUCGAACGGACAGGCCCUGCUUUUGUGGGUUUCUCGAUUGGCGAACGGGUGAGUAACACGUGAGUAACCUGCCCUUGACUUUGGGAUAACUUCAGGAAACUCGGGCUAAUACCGGAUAGGAUCUCCUGCUGCAUGUUGUGGGUUGGAAAGUUUCGGCGGUUGGGGAUGGACUCGCGGCUUAUCAGCUUGUUGGUGGGGUAGUGGCUUACCAAGGCUUUGACGGGUAGCCGGCCUGAGAGGGUUAACGGCGACAUUGGGACUGAGAGACGGACCAGACUGCUACGGGAGGCAGCAGUGGGGAAUAUUGCACAAUGGGCGGAAGCCUGAUGCAGAAACGCCGCGUGCGGGAUGACGGCCUUCGGGUUGUAAACAGCUUUCGAAUGUGACGAAGCGUGAGUGACGGUAAUGGGUAAAGAAGCACCGGCUAACUACGUG
rnacentral:rRNA from 1 species